rnacentral:rRNA from 1 species
ACCGGCGCACGGGUGCGUAACGCGUAUGCAAUCUACCUUUUACAGAGGGAUAGCCCAGAGAAAUUUGGAUUAAUACCUCAUAGUAUAGCAGUUUCGCAUGAAACCACUAUUAAAGUCACAACGGUAAAAGAUGAGCAUGCGUCCCAUUAGCUAGUUGGUAAGGUAACGGCUUACCAAGGCUACGAUGGGUAGGGGUCCUGAGAGGGAGAUCCCCCACACUGGUACUGAGACACGGACCAGACUCCUACGGGAGGCAGCAGUGAGGAAUAUUGGACAAUGGGCGCAAGCCUGAUCCAGCCAUGCCGCGUGCAGGAUGACGGUCCUAUGGAUUGUAAACUGCUUUUAUACGAGAAGAAACACUACUUCGUGAAGUAGCUUGACGGUAUCGUAAGAAUAAGGAUCGGCUAACUCCGUGCCAGCAGCCGCGGUAAUACGGAGGAUCCAAGCGUUAUCCGGAAUCAUUGGGUUUAAAGGGUCCGUAGGCGGUUUAAUAAGUCAGUGGUGAAAGCCCAUCGCUCAACGGUGGAACGGCCAUUGAUACUGUUAGACUUGAAUUAUUAGGAAGUAACUAGAAUAUGUAGUGUAGCGGUGAAAUGCUUAGAGAUUACAUGGAAUACCAAUUGCGAAGGCAGGUUACUACUAAUUGAUUGACGCUGAUGGACGAAAGCGUGGGUAGCGAACAGGAUUAGAUACCCUGGUAGUCCACGCCGUAACGAUGGAUACUAGCUGUUGGAAGCAAUUUCAGUGGCUAAGCGAAAGUGAUAAGUAUCCCACCUGGGGAGUACGU